rnacentral:rRNA from 1 species
CCCGUACACAAAAAUGCACAUGCUGUGAGCUCGAUGAGUAGGGCGGGACACGUGGUAUCCUGUCUGAAUAUGGGGGGACCAUCCUCCAAGGCUAAAUACUCCUGACUGACCGAUAGUGAACCAGUACCGUGAGGGAAAGGCGAAAAGAACCCCGGCGAGGGGAGUGAAAAAGAACCUGAAACCGUGUACGUACAAGCAGUGGGAGCACGCUUAGGCGUGUGACUGCGUACCUUUUGUAUAAUGGGUCAGCGACUUAUAUUCUGUAGCAAGGUUAACCGAAUAGGGGAGCCGAAGGGAAACCGAGUCUUAACUGGGCGUUAAGUUGCAGGGUAUAGACCCGAAACCCGGUGAUCUAGCCAUGGGCAGGUUGAAGGUUGGGUAACACUAACUGGAGGACCGAACCGACUAAUGUUGAAAAAUUAGCGGAUGACUUGUGGCUGGGGGUGAAAGGCCAAUCAAACCGGGAGAUAGCUGGUUCUCCCCGAAAGCUAUUUAGGUAGCGCCUCGUGAAUUCAUCUCCGGGGGUAGAGCACUGUUUCGGCAAGGGGGUCAUCCCGACUUACCAACCCGAUGCAAACUGCGAAUACCGGAGAAUGUUAUCACGGGAGACACACGGCGGGUGCUAACGUCCGUCGUGAAGAGGGAAACAACCCAGACCGCCAGCUAAGGUCCCAAAGUCAUGGUUAAGUGGGAAACGAUGUGGGAAGGCCCAGACAGCCAGGAUGUUGGCUUAGAAGCAGCCAUCAUUUAAAGAAAGCGUAAUAGCUCACUGGUCGAGUCGGCCUGCGCGGAAGAUGUAACGGGGCUAAACCAUGCACCGAAGCUGCGGCAGCGACGCUGAUGCGUUGUUGGGUAGGGGAGCGUUCUGUAAGCCUGUGAAGGUGUGCUGUGAGGCAUGCUGGAGGUAUCAGAAGUGCGAAUGCUGACAUAAGUAACGAUAAAGCGGGUGAAAAGCCCGCUCGCCGGAAGACCAAGGGUUCCUGUCCAACGUUAAUCGGGGCAGGGUGAGUCGACCCCUAAGGCGAGGCCGAAAGGCGUAGUCGAUGGGAAACAGGUUAAUAUUCCUGUACUUGGUGUUACUGCGAAGGGGGGACGGAGAAGGCUAUGUUGGCCGGGCGACGGUUGUCCCGGUUUAAGCGUGUAGGCUGGUUUUCCAGGCAAAUCCGGAAAAUCAAGGCUGAGGCGUGAUGACGAGGCACUACGGUGCUGAAGCAACAAAUGCCCUGCUUCCAGGAAAAGCCUCUAAGCAUCAGGUAACAUCAAAUCGUACCCCAAACCGACACAGGUGGUCAGGUAGAGAAUACCAAGGCGCUUGAGAGAACUCGGGUGAAGGAACUAGGCAAAAUGGUGCCGUAACUUCGGGAGAAGGCACGCUGAUAUGUAGGUGAAGUCCCUCGCGGAUGGAGCUGAAAUCAGUCGAAGAUACCAGCUGGCUGCAACUGUUUAUUAAAAACACAGCACUGUGCAAACACGAAAGUGGACGUAUACGGUGUGACGCCUGCCCGGUGCCGGAAGGUUAAUUGAUGGGGUUAGCCGCAAGGCGAAGCUCUUGAUCGAAGCCCCGGUAAACGGCGGCCGUAACUAUAACGGUCCUAAGGUAGCGAAAUUCCUUGUCGGGUAAGUUCCGACCUGCACGAAUGGCGUAAUGAUGGCCAGGUUGUCUCCACCCGAGACUCAGUGAAAUUGAACUCGCUGUGAAGAUGCAGUGUACCCGCGGCAAGACGGAAAGACCCCGUGAACCUUUACUAUAGCUUGACACUGAACAUUGAGCCUUGAUGUGUAGGAUAGGUGGGAGGCUUUGAAGUGUGGACGCCAGUCUGCAUGGAGCCGACCUUGAAAUACCACCCUUUAAUGUUUGAUGUUCUAACGUUGACCCGUAAUCCGGGUUGCGGACAGUGUCUGGUGGGUAGUUUGACUGGGGCGGUCUCCUCCUAAAGAGUAACGGAGGAGCACGAAGGUUGGCUAAUCCUGGUCGGACAUCAGGAGGUUAGUGCAAUGGCAUAAGCCAGCUUGACUGCGAGCGUGACGGCGCGAGCAGGUGCGAAAGCAGGUCAUAGUGAUCCGGUGGUUCUGAAUGGAAGGGCCAUCGCUCAACGGAUAAAAGGUACUCCGGGGAUAACAGGCUGAUACCGCCCAAGAGUUCAUAUCGACGGCGGUGUUUGGCACCUCGAUGUCGGCUCAUCACAUCCUGGGGCUGAAGUAGGUCCCAAGGGUAUGGCUGUUCGCCAUUUAAAGUGGUACGCGAGCUGGGUUUAGAACGUCGUGAGACAGUUCGGUCCCUA